AGUAAAUAGAUACCCAGGUAGUCCACGCCGUAAACGAUGUCGACUUGGAGGUUGUGCCCUUGAGGCGUGGCUUCCGGAGCUAAACGCGUUAAGUCGACCGCCUGGGGAGUACGGCCGCAAGGUUAAAACUCAAAUGAAUUGACGGGGGCCCGCACAAGCGGUGGAGCAUGUGGUUUAAUUCGAUGCAACGCGAAGAACCUUACCUACUCUUGACAUCCAGAGAACUUUCCAGAGAUGGAUUGGUGCCUUCGGGAACUCUGAGACAGGUGCUGCAUGGCUGUCGUCAGCUCGUGUUGUGAAGUGUUGGGUUAAGUCCCGCAACGAGCGCAACCCUUAUCCUUUGUUGCCAGCGGUUAGGCCGGGAACUCAAAGGAGACUGCCAGUGAUAAACUGGAGGAAGGUGGGGAUGACGCCAAGUCAUCAUGGCCCUUACGAGUAGGGCUACACACGUGCUACAAUGGCGCAUACAAAGAGAAGCGACCUCGCGAGAGCAAGCGGACCUCAUAAAGUGCGUCGUAGUCCGGAUUGGAGU
rnacentral:rRNA from 1 species